rnacentral:rRNA from 1 species
UGGGGGAUAUUGCACAAUGGGGGGAACCCUGAUGCAGCGACGCCGCGUGAGGGAAGAAGGUUUUCGGAUUGUAAACCUCUGUCUUCGGUGACGAAAAUGACGGUAGCCGAGGAGGAAGCCACGGCUAACUACGUGCCAGCAGCCGCGGUAAUACGUAGGUGGCAAGCGUUGUCCGGAAUUACUGGGUGUAAAGGGAGCGCAGGCGGGACUGCAAGUUGGAUGUGAAAUACCGUGGCUUAACCACGGAACUGCAUCCAAAACUGUAGUUCUUGAGUGAAGUAGAGGCAAGCGGAAUUCCGAGUGUAGCGGUGAAAUGCGUAGAUAUUCGGAGGAACACCAGUGGCGAAGGCGGCUUGCUGGGCUUUAACUGACGCUGAGGCUCGAAAGUGUGGGGAGCAAACAGGAUUAGAUACCCUGGUAGUCCACACUGUAAACGAUGAUAGCUAGGUGUGGGGGGUCUGACCCCUUCCGUGCCGGAGUUAACGCAAUAAGCUAUCCACCUGGGGAGUACGACCGCAAGGUUGAAACUCAAAGGAAUUGACGGGGGCCCGCACAAGCAGUGGAUUAUGUGGUUUAAUUCGAAGCAACGCGAAGAACCUUACCAGGUCUUGACAUCCGACUAACGAGAUAGAGAUAUGUCAGGUGCCCUUCGGGGAAAGUCGAGACAGGUGGUGCAUGGUUGUCGUCAGCUCGUGUCGUGAGAUGUUGGGUUAAGUCCCGCAACGAGCGCAACCCCUGCCAUUAGUUGCUACGCAAGAGCACUCUAAUGGGACCGCUACCGACAAGGUGGAGGAAGGUGGGGACGACGUCAAAUCAUCAUGCCCCUUAUGACCUGGGCUACACACGUAAUACAAUGGCCGUUAACAGAGGGAAGCAAAGCGGUGACGCAGAGCAAAACCCUAAAAACGGUCCCAGUUCGGACUGUAGGCUGCAACCCGCCUACACGAAGUUGGAAUUGCUAGUAAUCGCGGAUCAGCAUGCCGCGGUGAAUACGUUCCC